rnacentral:misc_RNA from 1 species
AACGCACAUUGCGCCCCUCGGUAUUCCGUGGGGCAUGCCUGUUCGAGCGUCAUUUACACCCUCAAGCUCUGCUUGGUGUUGGGCGUCUGUCCCGCGGCUUCGCGUGGACUCGCCUCAAAGUAAUUGGCAGCGGUCUUGCCAGCUUCUUGCGCAGCACAUUGCGCUCCCAGGGGCUCUGGCGGAUCGGCGUCCAUCAAGCUAUUUCAUGACUUGACCUCGGAUCAGGUAGGGAUACCCGCUGAACUUAA